rnacentral:rRNA from 1 species
UGGGGAAUAUUGGACAAUGGGGGCAACCCUGAUCCAGCCAUGCCGCGUGAGUGAUGAAGGCCUUCGGGUUGUAAAGCUCUUUUGGCGGGGGACGAUGAUGACGGUACCCGCAGAAUAAGCCCCGGCUAACUUCGUGCCAGCAGCCGCGGUAAGACGAAGGGGGCUAGCGUUGUUCGGAAUUACUGGGCGUAAAGCGAGUGUAGGCGGUUGCCGUAGUCAGGUGUGAAAGCCUUGAGCUCAACUCAAGAAAUGCACUUGAUACUGGGUGACUAGAGGACCGGAGAGGAUAGUGGAAUUCCCCAGUGUAGGUGGGUGAAAUACGUAGAGAUUGGGAAGAACACCAGUGGCGAAGGCGGCUAUCUGGACGG